AUCCCUGUAGCGCAAUGGAUAGUGCGCGUUGGACUUCUAAUCCAAAGAUCCUGGACUCGAAUCCCACCUGGGAUG